rnacentral:rRNA from 1 species
UACGUAGGGUGCGAGCGUUGUCCGGAAUUAUUGGGCGUAAAGAGCUCGUAGGCGGUCUGUCGCGUCGGAUGUGAAAGCCCGGGGCUUAACUCCGGGUCUGCAUUCGAUACGGGCAGACUAGAGUGUGGUAGGGGAGACUGGAAUUCCUGGUGUAGCGGUGAAAUGCGCAGAUAUCAGGAGGAACACCGGUGGCGAAGGCGGGUCUCUGGGCCAAUACUGACGCUGAGGAGCGAAAGCGUGGGGAGCGAACAGG